GACAUUCUUGAGAUGAUAUUGGAAAUGGCUUUUCAUGGAUUGAGUGGAUGGUCGUGUCUUGGAUGUUUGCUGCCUGAAUCAUCUGCCUAUGUAUUUCAUGGAGAACAUCUUUCUCCUAGCUGUAUUGGACUUCAAAAUCAUAUUCCCAAUAAUUUACAUCUACAACAUUUGAGGCAAAAAUACAGGAUGCGAGACAUAAAAGAAUUUCGAUAUUGCAUCAGAAAAGGUUGCGAUUAUUGGCUUCAGUAUCUCAUACUGCUCUAUCUAAUAGUUCUGUAGAAGAAGGUCAACAUGUACAACAUGUAAGGUUACAAUACAUAAAUUCACGAUUUCCAAGACUUUCAAUGUUGCGCCAGAAGAGGCCGCAAUUAUUAGCUUCAAAUUCUGUCCUUGGGUAUCUUGCAUCGGGUGCUGGUGUGCCAGUGUCAAUUACUCUGAUUUUUGGACUUCAUGGUUCUACUUAUAGUUUUGUACCAAGUUCUUCGAUUCUUAUCAGACCUAACACCAUAUUUGUGCAGUCAAUAAAGGUAAUUUGCUUUGCCACUUUGUGAAGUUUAAUUAUACACAGUUUGUUAAACGUGCUUUGGUAACCUCAUAUAUGCUUUUAUUAAGUUGAAGAGUUAAGUGAAAUAAGGCCUGGGUUAACA